rnacentral:tRNA from 1 species
GGGGUUGUGGCUCAGUGGUAGAGUGCUUGCCUAGCAUGUGUGAGUCCCUGGGUUCGAUCCCCAGCACCACA